rnacentral:rRNA from 1 species
CUGACGAGUGGCGGACGGGUGAGUAAUGCUUGGGAAUCUGGCUUAUGGAGGGGGAUAACUACGGGAAACUGUAGCUAAUACCGCGUAGAAUCGGAAGAUGAAAGUGCGGGACCGCAAGGCCGCAUGCCAUGAGAUGAGCCCAAGUGGGAUUAGGUAGUUGGUGGGGUAAAGGCCUACCAAGCCUACGAUCUCUAGCUGGUCUGAGAGGAUGGCCAGCCACACUGGAACUGAGACACGGUCCAGACUCCUACGGGAGGCAGCAGUGGGGAAUAUUGCGCAAUGGGGGGAACCCUGACGCAGCCAUGCCGCGUGAAUGAAGAAGGCCUUCGGGUUGUAAAGUUCUUUCGGUAUUGAGGAAGGGAUGUUUGCUAAUAGUAGAUAUCAUUGACGUUAAAUACAGAAGAAGCACCGGCUAACUCCGUGCCAGCAGCCGCGGUAAUACGGAGGGUGCGAGCGUUAAUCGGAAUAACUGGGCGUAAAGGGCACGCAGGCGGUUAUUUAAGUGAGGUGUGAAAGCCCCGGGCUUAACCUGGGAAUUGCAUUUCAGACUGGGUAACUAGAGUACUUUAGGGAGGGGUAGAAUUCCACGUGUAGCGGU